rnacentral:tRNA from 1 species
GGCGUUCUGGCCGAUGAGGCGCCUGCCGCUUGCGGCGGCAAUAGGGCGACAACGGCAGCGCACGCUGUUCGACGCGCUGGAGUGCAC